AAUGAAAAAGAUCUCUCCAGGAUGUCAGGAAGUGGAGGCAUAAUUUAAAGAGGGAUGCGAAGUUUUUGUUAAGUUUAGAGAAGAUUAUAAAGACCAUCAGAAGGACUAUAUAGCACAACUUGGGAUUAAUUUAUAUUAAAAUGGCCCCACAUCACUUUUUGAUAGAGAACAUGAUAGCCAGGAGGCUCGAGAGGUGCAAGAAAAUCCUAACAUGGAUCAAGGCAAAUGGGUCAAUUGUUAAAAUUUUCUCGGACAAGAAGAUUUUCACAACAUCCGGAAGGUCUUAUUGCUCGCAAAAUCAAAAGAAGAGGUCCAAGGGGUCUAACACACGAAAUAUCUGGCCCUAACAAUGGUCCUCAGAGUUGUGGCCUCCGAUGGAAAGAAGAUGCCUCAGUUGUUUUUUUCGAGACUACGAUUACGUACACCAUCUUGCCAUAGCUGAAGACCAACUACCCGGAGGGUAACUACGUGUAGACUCAGGAUGGCGCCACCUCUCACACGUCAGCUAAGUGCCAAAAGCUAUGUGCAGAUAAUAUGGAUUUAUUCUGGAGAUAUGGCACCCUUCCUCACCAGAUUUGAACCCACUGGACUUUUCUAUAUAAGUCACUUUGGAGAAAGAAACCAAUCGGACAUCACACCAAAAUGUGGACUCACUGAAGUCCUCCAUAGUGGCUGGAUGGAACAACUUGUCAGAUGAUUUUUUCAUCAACUACUACAACAUGGCCUUCAUGCGACAUGUUAAGGAUGUGAUUGAUAAUGAAAGUGGCCAUAUUGAGUGAAAAAAAGUUUUUCAAAAACAUUAUUUAGAUGUUUGUUAACAUAAUUUUUUUCCUAUAAUUGAAAGCAUAAAAUUAUUGAUGUAUUUCUAAAUCAAUCUCUCGAGUCCACGUAUUGCUGUCCUACCCUGUAUGUUUUCAAAUAUGCGAUGAUUUUGCCUCCAUUUGGUUAUAUUAGAAAAAAAUUGCUAUUUUCCACUUCAAUAAGAGUUUUGAUAUAAAUGUUUUAUUUAUUCGCUACAUUUUCGUCAUAUAAUAAAACAGAUAAAGUAUUAUGCGAUCCUUCAUCUCACGGAUUACUUAAUAAUCAGGAAUUGCCCUGCGUACAAGAGUAGAUACCCUGUAUUUUGAUUUUUUUAUCCAAUAAAUAAAUAUUCGAAG
rnacentral:lncRNA from 1 species